AACGCACCUUGCGCUCCUUGGUAUUCCGAGGAGCAUGCCUGUUUGAGUGUCAUGAAUAUCUCAGCCCGAAAGUUGAAUUUUUGAAAUACAACUGAGGGUUGGACUUGGAGGUAUUGCUGGCCUAGAGUCAGCUCCUCUCUAAAUGUAUUAGCAAAAUCUUUCAAGAUGUAGCUCAGUGUGAUAAAUUAUCUUACAUUGUGCAUAUGCGUCUUGCUUGUGCUACCCUGCCUCUAGUGCGGAUGUGUGGCAAAAGAUUGAGCUUCUAACUGUCAUUAGACAAUUUAAUUGACAUCUGACCUCAAAUCAGGUAGGACUACCCGCUGAACUUAA
rnacentral:misc_RNA from 1 species